rnacentral:rRNA from 1 species
CCUACGGGGGGCAGCAGUGAGGAAUAUUGGUCAAUGGACGAGAGUCUGAACCAGCCAAGUAGCGUGAAGGAUGACUGCCCUAUGGGUUGUAAACUUCUUUUAUAUGGGAAUAAAAUGCUCCACGUGUGGGAUUUUGUAUGUACCAUAUGAAUAAGGAUCGGCUAACUCCGUGCCAGCAGCCGCGGUAAUACGGAGGAUCCGAGCGUUAUCCGGAUUUAUUGGGUUUAAAGGGAGCGUAGGUGGAUUGUUAAGUCAGUUGUGAAAGUUUGCGGCUCAACCGUAAAAUUGCAGUUGAAACUGGCAGUCUUGAGUACAGUAGAGGUGGGCGGAAUUCGUGGUGUAGCGGUGAAAUGCUUAGAUAUCACGAAGAACUCCGAUUGCGAAGGCAGUUCACUGGACUGCAACUGACACUGAGGCUCGAAAGUGUGGGUAUCAAACAGGAUUAGAUACCCUUGUAGUC